UGCGCAGGUGGUUUAUUAAGUCAGUGGUGAAAGACGGUCGCUCAACGAUUGCAGUGCCAUUGAAACUGGUAGACUUGAGUAAAGUAGAGGUGGGCGGAAUUGAUAGUGUAGCGGUGAAAUGCAUAGAUAUUAUCAAGAACUCCAAUUGCGUAGGCAGCUCACUUGGCUUUUACUGACACUCAUGCACGAAAGUGUGGGUAUCAAACA
rnacentral:rRNA from 1 species